AUGGUGAACAACCCAGAAUUGCUGGCCAAAGCUGUGGAGGAGAUGGAUCGGGUGCUCGGUUGCGAGCGGCUGGAGCACGAGUCGGACAUCAUGCAACUCAACUAUCUCAAGGCGUGCAUAUGUGAGGCAUUUCGCCGACACCCAGUCGCUUCCUUCAACAUGCCGCACGUUGCGAUUGCCGACACCAUUGUUGCGGGCUACCGCGUGCCCAAGGGUAGCCACGUCAUCCUCAACCGGAUGGCCCUGGGCCAGAACCCCACCGUCUGGGACGAACCGCUCCACAUCAAGCCAGAGCGCCAUAUAGAAGACAACAUCAAUGUGGUGCUUAGCGAGAGCGAGUUGCGGUUCAUCUCCUUCAGCACCGGACAGCGGGGCUGCAUCACGGCAUCACUAGGAACAACCAUGAGUGUCAUGCUUUUCGGCAGGCUCCUGCAUGGCUUCACCUGGACCAAACCGGCUGGAGUGUCGGCCAUCAAUCUCAGCAAGUCCAAGCACAACCUCUUCAUGGAGAAACCGCUAGUGCUACAUGCUGAGCCACGUCUUGCAGUGCACCUCUACCCUCUCAUGCACCAUUGA
rnacentral:rRNA from 1 species